AGUUAGGAAGUAAAUAUUACAGAUGAUUUCGGCUCAUCCUUUGGCUUAAACUAAGCCCCUAUCUU
rnacentral:tRNA from 2 species